UGACUCUGGAGCAUAGACUGAGUGUAGCCUCCGAUGGUAAAAGUGACAAAUGUCUAGUAGACAAACUUUUUUUUUUGAGUGGGACCAAAGGAAAACAAAUUUGGAUAGUCCAACUUAGCUUUUAAACAAUAUUAGUCAUUGAAACCAAAAUUUGGGUAAAUUUACAGUAUAAUAAAUGGUGAUCUUUAAACAUGUAUCAAGAAGUUAGAUGAGUUCAUUAGACCAUUCUAAUGCUAAUGAAUAUGUUUUAACAAGAACAGUUCUUCUCUGCAGGUGUAUUUUCUUAAUAGUUUGUCACUGAAGAACACAUUGGUUUCUUAAUAUAAAAGUGGGAAAAAGGCAGUGAAUUUCUUGGGAAUUUAAAUGGAGUCUAGAAGUUGCAAUGAUAAAUUUGAGCUCUGUGAUCUUUGUUAAUGUUCUUAAUGUUUUCCUCUCUGUAUUGCUCUAGGUAAGCUAUUGCACCAGUGUAGACAAAACCUCAAUACCUAACUUAAGACCCAUGCAGGGGUCUAGGGCCCCGGGCCAGGUGCUGGGACGAUGGUACUAAAUCUAGUAGAUGGGCUAUACGGUAACUCUCCUAGGUAACACCUGGGGCACUGGGAGGUGCUCUAAACUGAGCCUGGACCGAGGUCUGAACAGGAGACAGGCCACUGAGGCAAACAAGGAGGCAUGGAUGCUCUUGGUCUCUUCAGGGAAUGAUUCCACAGUGAGAUGGCAAAAACCCAGUCAACAGGGUUUAGGCUUUGUUUUUCUGUUCUUUGAGGCUUCUUUCUUUUCUCCUCUUUUUUCUUUUUCUGUUCUAGUGAUUCCUUAAUUUGAAGUUGGGUUUUAAAAACUGCAAGGAGGAGGAAAUUAGAUCUAGAAGGCUUUUAGGUUUUGAACUCAUUUGGCUUUUUUUUUUCUUUUGUACUAAGAUUUUAUUAGAUAAUCAAAACUGGAAUCAUCAAGUGUUAAUACAAGAAUGAAAAGUAUAAUGGGGGGCACCUGGGUGGCUCAGUCAGUUUAGUUCAGGUCUUGAUCUCAGGGUCCUGGGAUCGAGCCCUGUUGAGCCCUGUGUCGUGCUCCCUGCUCAGUGGAGAGCCUGCUUCUCCCUCUCCCUCUGCCCUUCCCCCUGCUCAUUCUCUAAAAUAAAUAAAAUCUUUAAAAAUAAAAAGAAUGAAAAGUAUAAUGGAACAUGCCAAAAUAAUAAACCUACUGCUUUGUUUUCAUAGCCUAUUAUUAUUAAAGUAAAAUACUAUUGAAAUAUUGUAAGUUAAAGGUACAUUUUAUUUUUUUUUUUCUGAAAAAAUGUUAGUAACUUUAGUGAAGAAUAAUUCAGAUGUGGGAGUAGGGGAAGAUUUAUUUUUAUAAAGUAAUUUUUAUCCUGACAAGGACUAUUAUUUUUUAAAGUAUUUUGCACCUAAAAUUUUUUAAGUAAACAUGUUAAAAACAGUUGGAAAAGUUAAAUAAGCAAUAUACUAAAUAGUAGAUUUUUUUGGUAUGUAUUCUGUUUUUCUCUUUGUGAUAUAAAAUAAGGAGAAAUUGAAUUGUGAAAACUAGAAUAAUGAAGGACACUAAAUGCCUUUAUUUGAGAUACCAUGUUUGCAAGCCUACACUGGAAUCUUGUACCUUUUUUAGAUUUGAAUUAUGGCUCUGAAAAAGGCCAAAUAAUUAUAAUCUUAUUACAAAAUACCAAUGACAAAAUUUCUAACUGAAGCCUUUUUAGUUGGCAAAUAGACAAGCAGCUUUAGCCAGAAAGGAUUUUUAACUGCAGCUUUAAUAAACUUUUUUUAAGGAAGUUCUCUCCCCCUCUUCCUCAUCCCCCAAACCUAAAAUAAUAAGAUGCUGGGAAUCAAAAAGCUCUUGCCUUUUCCAUUCAGAUCAGUUGGGAAAUUACUAUUUGAGCUCUGAUGCUGCUGUGAUUUCUCAAAAAUUAGUGGGAACAAACCAAUCUAUAUAAUAUGCUACCUUUUUUGUCUCCUUUGCAGUUUUAUAUACAAGUCAAGACAAUACCAGGGUAACAGGUGAAUUCUCAGUUUUGUCUAUUCCCUAAAAAAGUAAACUGCCCCCUUUUUUUCAAUUAUUCACAGCUAAUAACUUUUAGGAACAUGUUUAUACCACAUACAUCUUUUUUAAUUAAAGCAAGUGCCUUGCUGCCAUUCCAUAUAAAUGAGACUUAACCCUCUAUGGGAUGAGGGUGUGUUGAUGGAUGGCAGCCUGUUGCAGGAGAAGGAGGAGUUGGUUAAUAGCAAAUCUUUUUCUUUCGGAAGGAUAUGUUCAUGUUAUUAUGUAAGAUACUGUAUGUGUUGAGAUCUAGAGGUGUCAUUUCAUUUCUGCUAAUAAAUUGUUAUGCUACUAAAAUAUUACUUUGUGUCUAAAUUAUUUAAGUGCAACUAAGAAACACAUGUAGGUCACCAGUGAGCUUCGGAAUACCAUCUCUUUACAUUUGGAGGGUGAUUCAGUCAUUAAUUUUUCCCAAAUAUAACAAAAGGAUCUGUCCUUAUAGAAAGACAUAAUGCAUUUCUUUCCUUUUUUUGCUUUGUGGUCCUGAGUGAGUACAUUAACCCUUUGGGGACUCAAGUUUUCAUCAAUGAAGAGGGGAGGAGCAAUAGAUUGCCCGAGGACCUUUCUAGUUCUCGUGUUGAAUGACUACUACUCUGUACCAUGUUGGAAUCAGAAAACCCCAAACUGGCUCAUGUUUUACUACUCCUAACUCUGAAUUUUGGCAUUUGGAAGCCACCACAGACACCUGGGCAGGGGAAAUGUCAUGAUGACAAUAGAUCCAACAUUAUGUGCCAAACGGACUUCAGGGGAAGAAAGUGAGUGGGAGUAUUCAGAUGGCCAGCCGAAGAGAGAAGUACUAGAAUCCAGCUAGACCACUGGUUCUCAAACUGUCCAAAAAUGGCGUCAGGAACACCUACACAAGUGGAAAGGAACUGUCUAAGUUUCUGUACACUCGAGAUGGCCUCUGUGAUGGUGAUUUUUGGCUGCUGUGGUAAAGACGCCUCCCCCUCCUCUUCGCUUCCAGC